rnacentral:rRNA from 1 species
CUUCGGCUCACCAAGAACGCNCCGAAGACUGCAGCUNAGUUUANAGGGGAGUAAAUUCCAGGUGNGGGGUAAAUCUGAGAUAUCUGGAGAAUACCGGUGGCAAGGCGAACUCCUGGCAUAAACUGACGCUGAGGUGCGAAAGCGUGGGGAGCNACAGGAUUAGAUACCCUGGUAGUCCACGCUGUAAACGAAUGUGCACUAGGUGUUGGAUGGUUACAUUCAGUGCCGUAGCAAACGUGUUAAGUGCACCGCCUGGGGAGUAUGCUCGCAAGGGUGAAACUCAAAGGAAUUGACGGGGGCCCGCACAAGCGGUGGAGCAUGUGGUUUAAUUCGAUGAUACGCGAGAAACCUUACCAGGGCUUGACAUAUACUGGACGACGUUAGAGAUAACGUUUCUGCCUUGCAGUCAGUAUACAGGUGCUGCAUGGCUGUCGUCAGCUCGUGCUGUGAGUGUUGGUUAGUCCGCACGAGCGCACCCCUUUUUGCUGUUGCAAAUGUAUGAUGGGACUCAACAGACUGCCGUGACAACCGGAGAAGUGGGACGACUCAGNAUCUGGCCUAUGUUCUGGCUCCACGUGCUCAUGCAGNCAAGCGA